rnacentral:rRNA from 1 species
GACGAACGCUGGCGGCGUGCUUAACACAUGCAAGUCGAGCGGUAAGGCCCUUUCGGGGGUACGACGAGCGGCGAACGGGUGAGUAACACGUGGGUGACCUGCCCUUAGCUCUGGGAUAAGCCUGGGAAACGUGGGUCUAAUACCGGAUAUGACUCCAUGACGCAUGUUGUGGGGUGGAAAGCCUUGUGCGGCUAGGGAUGGGCCCGCGGCCUAUCAGCUUGUUGGUGGGGUGAUGGCCACCAAGGCGACGACGGGUAGCCGGCCUGAGAGGGCGACCGGCCACACUGGGGACUGAGACACGGCCCAGACUCCUACGGGAGGGCAGCAGUGGGGAAUCUUGCGCAAUGGGGCGAAAGCCUGACGCAGCGACGCCGCGUGAGGGAUGACGGCCU